rnacentral:lncRNA from 1 species
GGGGUCUCCUUGGUUCUUCGGUAGAGUUCACUUCAUUCCACUCACUAUUCACACUUGCUUUUCACUCCAGUGUUCAUGAUCCUUACACUCGUGAACUCUACCGAAGAGGGGCAUAUUUGUAGACCCCCAUUUUGGGAGUCAUUCUUGCAGUUGAUGCUUGACAAGUGUCACCAUCUUGCAUGGCCACGUGUCACUCCCGGAUUAGUCAAUAUGGG